UCCAAAUGGAAGUGAUCAUGCCUUACUCCCCUCGAAGGGCAGCGUGCCGUUAAACUCUGGCCGGCGAGAUCCAUUUUCCUGCCGAGAAACUCUGAUAAAACGCACAUGUACAAGCUAAUCAGCAUCUUUAGGAACAGACAUUAUGAGAACGCAAACGGACCGAGGGAGUUCAGUGUUGGCGAAUACAGAACCUGGUGGAGGUGACAGAGGAAAGUUUAGAACCGAAUGAAAUAGAGGAGAAACACCAUCAUUUCAUAACCGAAGGAGAAUCUCUGAGCUGCUUGAAGAACGAGAAUUUCUCACCAGAAAAAUCCCCAAGAAUAGCAGCCAAAGAUUCUGUCAGUGUGGAAAGAUCGGCCUUACAAAUGUGACGAGUGUGGAAAGACCUUCAUUCUCAGGUUCAACCUUAAAGUGCACGUGAACUCACACUGGAGAAAAGCCUUACAAAUGUGAGCGGUGUGGGAAGACUUUCAAUUCCAAUUGGCACCUUAAUGAGCACAUGAGAAUUCACACUGGAGAACGGCCUUACACGUGUGACCCGUGUGGAAAGACCUUGACUAGGUAAGACUGAACUGAAUGUGCACGCGGGAGUUCACACGAGAGAAAAACCUUACAUAUGUCAUCGGUGUGGAAAGAGCUUCACUUGUAAGUCCAACCUUAACAUGCACAUGAGAGUUCACACGAGAGAAAAGCCUUACAAAUGGGAUGAGUGUGGAAAGAGUUUUGUGUGGGCAGCGAGUCUAAGAGAGCAUCUUCACUGUCAUUCUGGAGUGAGAUCGUUUAGUGUGAACAGUGUAAUAAAACAUUUGUUUCUGCAAAUAACCUGAAGAAACACAUGAAGACUCACGCAGGUGUGAAGUCUGUUCCGUCUGUGGAAAGGCCUUCGCGCAAGUCUCCUAUUUUAAAGAACACGAGAAAACACACACAGGCGAGACAUCACACAUGUGCUCCGAGUGUGGCAAAACCUUCACAACAUCUGGAAAUUUAAAACGGCAUCAGAGAAUUCAUACUGGACAGAACCCUUACAAGUGCUCGCAGUGUGAAAUGUGUUUCGCUCGGGUAGAAGCCCUGCAAAAGCACGAGAGACUUCACAAAGAAGAGAAAUCUCACCACGGAGUUUUAAAGAAUCAAGACGUCUCGAGACUCACAAGAAGACGUGUGGCAAAGAGAGCAAAGUUCAUCCUCAGAGAACUGUUCAGACCAGAAGAUCCCAACAACCUUCUGCUGUAGGUUGAUAAAAAUACUACUGAUUAAGUUUGUCCUUAUUUGACAAAAAUAAUAUUUAGCGAAGGGUCAGUAUAAUAAUGAAGCAGAACAUUUUUGUUGUCAUGUUAAGUCAGCAAUGUUAAUAUUUAAUAUUAAUAAUCGAUUCAGUGUUAAUACUGUUAAAGUGCUGUGCGACCAGUCAGUGAAUAAAAGGUUUGUCCAUUUUUAGGAUCUUGUAAA